rnacentral:rRNA from 1 species
UUUUUAUUAGUUAUAAAAAAUAAUUUUUAUCAAUUAAGUUUAAGUAAAUUUUAUAGAAAAAAUAAUAUUUAUUAUAUAAAAUUAGUAUUGAAAAAGAAUUUUGAAAUAUAUUGAAAAUUUCUAAUUUAAUAAGAAUAUUUAAUUAAUAGUAUUUUGUGUUUCAAAGUAUUUUAAAUAUAAUUUUUAUAUAAAAAUUUUUCGAAUUAAAAUGAUUUAAAAAUUUAUAUAGAAUAAUGUGGAAUAAUUUUCUGGCAUAAAUUUUUUGAAAUAAAAAGUUAUACGUAUUUUAAGAUAUCUAAUUAUUUAAGAAAUAAUUUAAAAUUAGAUUAAUAUUUAAUUAAAUUGAUAAUUAUUAAUUAAUUUAUUUAUAUUAGUUAUUAUUCAUGGGGAUUAGCUUGUGCGUAAAGAAUUUAAAAAUUAUUUUAUAAUAAUAAUAAUAAUAAGCUUAAAAAUAGUUAUUUAUUAUAAAUAUGUUAUAAUUUAUUUAAUAUGUAAAAUUUAUUAUUUAUUAAAAAUUUUAAAAAAAAAUUUAUUAAAUAAAUUUAUUUAGUUAUAAAAUAUAGGUUAAAAUGAAAUAAUUAGUAAAUAUAAAUUAUGUAUAAAAUUAUUAAAUAUAAAAAUUUGAAUUAAGGAAUUCGGCAAUAAGUUUAUUCACUUGUUUAAUAAAAACAUGUCUUUAAGAAUUUAAUUUAAAGUCUAGCCUGCCCACUGAAAAUUAAAUGGCCGCGGUAUAUUGACCGUGCAAAGGUAGCAUAAUCAUUUGUCUCUUAAUUAGAGGCUUGUAUGAAUGGCUGAAUGAGAUAAAAUCUGUCUUAAUUUAAUUAUAAAUUGAAUUUUAAUUUUUAGUAAAAAUGCUAAAAUUUUUGUAAAAGACGAGAAGACCCUAUAAAUCUUUAUUUUUUAAUAAUUUAAGUGUUUGUAUUAAAUAUUUUAUUAUAUUAUAAAAAGAAUUGUAUUGGGGCGAUAAUUAAAUUUAAUAAACUUUUAUAUUUACUUAUUAUUAAUAAAUAUAUUAAUGAUCCAAUUUUAUUGAUUAAAAGUUUAAGUUACUUUAGGGAUAACAGCGUAAUAUUUUUGAAGAGUUCAUAUCAAUAAAAAUGAUUGCGACCUCGAUGUUGAAUUAAGAGUAAAUUUAGGUGUAGAAGUUUAAAUUUUAAGUCUGUUCGACUUUUAAAUUCUUACAUGAUUUGAGUUUAGACCGGCGUAAGCCAGGUUAGUUUCUAUCUUUAUUAAAUUAAAUCAUUUUAGUACGAAAGGACCAAAUGAAUUAAAUAAUAUUUUAUAAAGUGAAUAAUAUUAAAA